GGGGAGCCUUCAGGAGCGGCCGAGGAGUUGCUGCAGACCCUGCCGCGAGGGCAUCGGCCUCCGGGCGCGGCCAGAUGAGGCGGACGUUCUUAGGAGAACGCUGAGCAAGGGGCCACAGUCGGUGACUCUAGGAGACUGCCAGCGGGCGAGGCGGCCUUCCUCGGCACCGGACGUGGAUUCUCGUCCCCGGACGUCCGAGA